AGAGAAAAAUUAUAUCAAAAAUGUAAUAUGUUUACUAGCUAUCACGUGCAGUGAAUGGUUAAUAUGCUUUUACAUCCAUUUUGGUGAACCCAGAGAGAAAAUAUGGCAUUUUAAAAGUAGCCUACAUUUACGGCAACCAGAUGACGGUAGACUACAGAGAAAGUGUGUUAUUUUU